rnacentral:misc_RNA from 1 species
UUAAGUUCAGCGGGUAAUCCUACCUGAUUUGAGGUCAACGUUGAAAGAAGUUUUCAAGCCAACUUAUAAGAAGGCCCCGUUUGGUGUAGUUGGUAAAACCUAAAACACUGAAGGGCACUCCAAAGUACUGCCAUUUCCUUUCAUUGUACUAGUAAUGAAACUAGAUACAACAAAACCACGUUAGUGAGAGAGAAAUGACG